CCCUGACGUUAACGUCAGAAGAAGCACCGGCUAACUCCGUGCCAGCAGCCGCGGUAAUACGGAGGGUGCAAGCGUUAAUCGGAAUUACUGGGCGUAAAGCGCGCGUAGGCGGUUAAAUAAGUCAGAUGUGAAAGCCCCGGGCUCAACCUGGGAACUGCAUUUGAAACUGUUUAGCUAGAGUGUGGUAGAGGAGAGUGGAAUUUCAGGUGUAGCGGUGAAAUGCGUAGAUAUCUGAAGGAACAUCAGUGGCGAAGGCGGCUCUCUGGACCAACACUGACGCUGAGGUGCGAAAGCGUGGGUAGCAAAAGGGAUUAGAUACCCCAGUAGU
rnacentral:rRNA from 1 species